rnacentral:rRNA from 1 species
UACGUAGGGUGCGAGCGUUGUCCGGAAUUAUUGGGCGUAAAGAGCUCGUAGGCGGUGUGUCACGUCGGCCGUGAAAACCUGCAGCUUAACUGUGGGCGUGCGGUCGAUACGGGCAUCACUGGAGUUCGGCAGGGGAGACUGGAAUUCCUGGUGUAGCAGUGAAAUGCGUAGAGAUCAGGAGGAAUACCGAUGGCGAAGGCAGGUCCCUGGGUUGACACUGACGCUCAUGCACGAAAGCGUGGGGAGCAAACAGG